rnacentral:lncRNA from 1 species
AUGUUUAAAUGAAAAAGCAGCAGUACAGCAUUUUCGUUCUUCAUCAUUCCUGGCUGUGCACACCCUCUAAAAUCCAGGACAUGUCAUAGGAAGUUUACUAAUUUUAUAUACAUAAAAUACAGAGAACUUAAGAGGGUAAGGCAACACCGGGCUACAUUGAUGUGAAUUGCCAAUUUAAUCAUGGUUUAAAUCAGCCAGCGGGAAAGCUUCAUUCAGAUAAUGAAUUUCUACCUUGUUUUGUAUUUGUACUUUGGGUGCUGUUUCCCCCCUAAAAAGUUGGCUCCCCUCCCUGUUUGUUAGUAACCAAAGCAACAUAUUUUCAUGCAAGUACAUACCACUUUUAAACGUCCUUUGGCAAGCCUUUGUGCCCCCUGGAGAUGCGUCACACCAGGGCUGGCCAACCUGCAGCUGGUGAGCCGUUGAGCCGCACAUCACAUGCUGGGACCGCAUCCUCUGGCUAACCACAAGGCUGUGGUGGCAGACGGCUGGUGAGUAAUGCCGCGUCCCACUUGUGGGUGGAAGCAGGCCUGUCCCUGCGCAUGAGUGACCGGCCCGGCACCUCCCUGCCAUGGUGCCACAAGCAUCUCCUGGCGUCUCCUGUGUCUCCUGCCCGUGGAGCUCUCUGGGAUCUCCACCCUUCCCCCAGCUCUUGCAGGUACCUGGCAUGAGUUUUGCGCCGCUCAACCACAUGAAGAUUUCAGUCAGUGACUCGAAGGAUCAGAAAGGCUGGCUUCCACUGAUUUACAUCAGAGAAACUCACAUUUUCACAAAUUGCAACGUGCUAACAACAUUCCUAUGCAAUACAUAACACAUCUUCAUCUUACGGAUGAGUAAGACGUUAAGUGAUUGAGGCAAAUCACAAGAAGGACCAUCAGUGGCAGGGCUGGGACCGGGCUGUUGAUUUUCUGAUCUAUCUGAGCCUCACACCCUUGAUGUGAGUACACAGCUUGCCUGUGCGGGAAGGUACACCGGCAGGCUUCAGUUAGUGAGCCCGUCUGACUUGCAGAGAGGAGCUUUUAAUCACAGAUUAAUGAUCAGUGCUUUUUGUUUUCAGCAGCCUAAGCUAAAUCUGGGGAAGCGGAGCAGGGGGGAUGAUUUCCAUGCAGUGCCCUGGCUUGACCCGUCUGCAGCCGCCACUGACUCGGCCGAAGUGACUGUGGUCGCUGCCGCGCUCGGUUGUUCAUCGCUCUUCCCCCAUAGGGAGCGACCGGGCCUCUGUGCUGUCUCUCCCUAACCUUUGCAACAGAAAUUAGCAAUACACCGAACAUCAGCCUGAACCUCCUGACAGAGCAACUGCAACCAAAGUCAGACCAAGGUCUGGGCCAGCACCUGCGCUUGGAGGAAGACGCCCAGGGCACGAUGUGCCAGAUACUGCCAUAGCUAUAUCUAUGUCAGUUCACACCAGUAUUUGCAUUGGUAUCUUUUCUCUCUGUAGACAAUAGUCAAUUCUCCUGUGUUUCUCCCAGCCUUUUGAAGGAAAAUAAAUCCCUGUAGUUAAAAUCA